GCCUUCGUGGUGUAGCGGUCAGCACGCUGGGCGCGUAUUCCAGAGGUCCGCGGUUCGAGUCCCGGCAUAGGCG
rnacentral:tRNA from 1 species